UAUGAACUAGGUUAUUAUACUAUUAAUAGCACUAAGUUAUUGGUGCUAUUAGGGUUUCUUCCAUUGGAUGAAGAGAUAUAGGGUUAGAAUAAUAGUAGUCUUCUAAGGCUGAGUGGAUGGUUUGUUGAAUAGUAUGAUCUGACGGAUGAAAAUGAUCAAAUGGGUAGACCUAACGGCGAAAAACUGUAGCACCAAGAGGAGUAAACUUGUAAUUUAAAUAAUUAUUACUCGCCAGCAGUAAUACGAGAUACCCACUCUUCAUUCGGUAAUAUUUUCGGAGUAAUCUUACAUCAUUUAUAAUGCUAAUUUGCCAAUUAUAUUAUAAACUGGAUGACCCAAAUAUAAUAAUCUUGACAAAAAUACCUAUAGUUCUGACAAGAUAAUCCGAACCAAAUAAGCCCUUUUUAAAUUAUG
rnacentral:lncRNA from 1 species